AUCAACUGGAAUCAUCUCUCAUUGUCAGGUAUGAACAAAAUGUCAAAGCUUACUGAUUUCUAUAGACAAAGAGCUAAGAAAAAGUUUGCCACCCAGGGCGAUAGGAAUACCAAAAAUUUUCACCAUGCCGUUCUUAAUAGAAGGAAAAGAAAUACUAUUGUCUCCAUAAAAGAUGAGAAUGACAACAUCCAUUUUAAACCUCAGGCCAUUGCUAAUAUGUUUGUUAAUUAUUUUAGAUAUGUAGGCAGGACUUUUCUUGCAACCAGCCUUCCCCUUGAUUGCCAGGACUACACUUAUAGCAUUCCAGAUAAGGAGGAAAUUCUCAACACUCUCAAGGACAUGAAGCUAAACGCAUCUCCUGGGCCUGAUGGGUUCAAUGUUGAAUUCUAUAUUGCCACUUGGAGCUGCAUUGGCGAUGACGUCACUGCUAUGGUGAGGAAUUUUUACCAAACAGGUAUAAUGCCUUCACAUAUAAGCGAUACUUACAUUGCUCUUAUUCCUAAAAAAAUGGUCUCUCAAGUCCCUUCCGAUUAUCGACCAAUAAGCCUUUGUAAUGUCAUUUACAAGAUAAUUUCCAAAACUUUGGCCAAUAGACUCAAGCCUCACCUUCCUGACUAUAUUGAUCCUUCUCAACAAGCCUUCAUUGAGGGUAGGUGCAUUUCCAAUAACAUCAUUUUAGCUCAAGAAAUUACUCACUCCUUUGCCCUUAAUCUUGGAAACAACAAGCUUUCUUGCUUAAAGUUGAUUUGGCUAAGGCUUUUGAUCGCCUUGAAUGGAACUUCAUAG
rnacentral:rRNA from 1 species